rnacentral:tRNA from 2 species
GCCGCCGUAGCUCAGCGGGUUAGAGCGCCGGACUCAUAAUCCGGAGGUCCCGGGUUCAAAUCCCGGCGGCGGCA